rnacentral:rRNA from 1 species
UAAUACAGAGGGUGCGAGCGUUAAUCGGAAUUACUGGGUGUAAAGGGCGCGUAGGCGGCAAGAUGUGUGUGAUGUGAAAGCCCCGGGCUUAACCUGGGAAGUGCAUUGCAAACUGUCUGGCUAGAGUAUAUGAGAGGGUGGCGGAAUUUCCGGUGUAGCGGUGAAAUGCGUAGAGAUCGGAAGGAACGUCAAUGGCGAAGGCAGCCACCUGGCAUAAUACUGACGCUGAGGCGCGAAAGCGUGGGGAGCGAACAGGAUUAGAUACCCUGGUAGUCCACGCUGUAAACUAUGAGGACUAGAUGUUGGCAGGGGAACCUGUCAGUAUCGAAGCUAACGCGAUAAGUCUUCCACCUGGGAAGUACGGCCGCAAGGUUG